GCCCGGGCAGGGAAGCCACUGUAGCCUCUUUGCGCUUGCGGAGGGUGAGUGCUCGCGGGUGGGGGGAGGUGGGCGGCGGUCAGCGCGCGCCUCUCCGGGGUGCUGUGUUCUUUCAGGGACGCUGUCCACAGAGUUGGGGGAGGGUCAUGCGAAUCCAGGAUCACCGCUGUGGGAGCUCUGAUGGAUGUGGGGAGUAGGACGGCGAACUCAGCCCUCGAGGGACGAGGGAGGGAGGCUCGGACACCGGGUACAUUCCUCACCUCCCUAGGUACCUGGACCCCGACUGAUCCAGGGGAUCCUGGGAGGGUGGGGCCUUGGCGAGGGAGGUAUGGGGACAGGAUCCCUGAGGGUGGGUGGGGGACGUCCCAGUGCUUGGCUCCUGUUUGAAUAGGCGCCUGAAGCAUUUGAAAGAGCGGGGUUCUGAGGCUUCAGGGAGUCCCCCGUAGGGCAGGUGCCAGAGGGUUGACAUAGUGAUUUGAGAAAGGAUGGCGAGGUGGCGAGGGGAGAUGUGACCCAGAGCCAGUCACAUCGAGGCUCUGGAUGUCUUUCUUGUGUCUAAAGAGGAGGGGUUGGGCCUUGGAGCCGCCCCCGGGAGGAAAGGUGGAGUAGCAGCUGUUGUUGGGUCCUGAGAGGGAGGACAGGGUUGUGCCGACUGUCUCUGCACGUGUCUUCUGGAGCCCCUGGCGGUGAGCAGGCACAAACAGGGUACUCUACUAUCUGUGCAAACAGGCCUGCGGUAAAGUGACCUGGGCUAAGGUGGAAGAGUGACAAGGUGGGGUUCCUAGGAGAUCCCUGGGGCUGGUGGCCACUAAGGUGACCUCAAGGACUUUGGGAGCAUGUGUAAACCGGGGCUGAGGUGAUUGGGAGCAUGUGGGGAGUGCAUACGGAAUGUCUGAGACCAGGCCCAGGGAGCAGAGGGACUGGAUGGAGACUGUGUCCCAGGCACCAAACUUAGAAUCGGCUGGAUAUUUGAGAGGCCCAGAUUCCCAGGUUCCCGAAGGAUGAGAUGCCAGAAUGACAAAUCAUUAUCAGAGCUCAGAUUUGACCCCUGGGUUUUGUUUGUUAAGAGCCUGAGAACAUAUUAGGAGGCAAGUUUAGUAACUUCUGGCUCUGUGGAAAUGGGGAUAAUAAUACCCAUCUCACGGGCUUGUUCUGGGGAUUAAAUAAGAGAAUAUACGUUUAGUGCUUAGCACAGUGCCUCAUGUUUUAGUGUGUGUGUGUGUGUGUGUGUGUGUGUGUGUGUUUAGCUAAAAAAAAAUGGCUGUAGGAUAUCAAAACAACAGUGACAGGAAUGCUGGUGGUUGGGAACUAUAAUCUCACGUUCUCAAGUUUUUCGGCCAAGUUUUGGUGACUCCCUCUCCAUUUCCCUCUUCUUGGUUCUUCUGAUCGUCAGGCACCAGCCCAAACCGUCGUUCCACCCUAUGUCCGUCCUCCAGGAUCCAGGCCCCAGGCCGGGCCACUUGCUCCGUCCUAGUUCGAUUUCCUCAUCCUAGACCCAUUCUUCUCCCUGCCCCUCCUCCCUCUCUCUGCUGCCAUAGUAACACGAGAUUCCGGCGCUGAGGGGGCCUCCGGGAGGGAGCAAAGGUGCGUGUGCUCUCGCAGAACCUGGCCUCCAACUUCCCCGCCCUGGAUCUUUGGGACUGGGCCAGCAGAUGUGUACAGUUUGGGAGGGGAGGGCGGAGCCCGUGCCAGCAGCGGGGCGAACGGGCCGAGGGAAGGGCGGAUGUGAAUCUCGGGGAGAGAGCCAGGCGUAGGGGCGGGGGCGGGGGACCCCUUCCUCCUAAUCCUCUCUCCAGGAAUCCCUGGCUUUGGGACAGGACGGCUGUCUUUGGCUGGGGGAGGCGCCCGGGCCGGGUGCAUGUCCUGGGCCUCCGGCCAAGAGAACAUGAUGUUCCCAAGUGCGCGGGCCGCCGCCCUCUCGGGCUGGCCGCCUCCCAAACCACUGCCUCUCCAGCCUCCCUGUCCCACAUUCCCCGGCUGCCUCGCUCCGCCCUCUUCCUCCGCUUUGACGUCACCGCUCUCUCCCGCCCCCUCUCCUCCAUUGACGGCAGCGGGGCCCGGUUACUGUGGGGACUGUGAGGCUGGACGACCAGGGCCUUGCGAGCAGGUGGGGGCCGCUGGGGCGCUGGACCCCUUUGUCGAUGCAAAGUGUAGAUAUGCAGGUGGGCGGUGGCAGAGCCGGCAGGGCCUCUGUCAGCGGGGAUCACAUCCAGAUCCCAGGGGGAGAACUGGGGAGGAAGAAAAACCAUGUUUCCAGAGGAGAGGAGUCUGAAAAUGCGCCUGGGGACUGGGCCACAGUAUAUGAGUUGGGAGGACGUUUUCCAGGAGACGAGACCUGAAUCCUUUGUUUUCUCUGUUUUCCGGCUUUGGUUUUUCUGGGUUAUUUUAUGACAUCCCUGUGUCCCAGCUUUUCCACGGAGCCCUCCUCCUGGCCCCUCCACGGGGAACACCAUUGUUAAGGAAGGCUUAGGCCACGUGACAGGGAGGAAGGGCACCGACAGCUGAUUGUGUCAGCAUCAGCUUGGGGGUCUCUUCACUUGCUGCCCACGUUAACAGGGAGCCCUGAGAGGAUCUACCCACCGUCUUGGAUGGAGGGGUCUGUCACUGCAGUUUCCCCCAGCCCAGCCUGGCACUUCCAGUGGUCUGCUCUGCCCCCUCCUUGAAAAAACAUAAUUUCCAGCACCUUUUCCAUUGCUGGGGCCCCUUCCCCUCCCCCAUCUAUCCUUGUUAACAACAAAAUCAUCAUGUUUAUUGAUCAUCUACCAUGUGUCAGGUCCAGUCCUGGGGUUCUGGGGAAUACAGAGAGGUGGCAAACGAGGUCUUUGGCUUUCUCUUGUCCUAGUGGUGGGGAUCUGAAGCCCUUGCCACUUCACCUGUGUCUCUGUGGGGUCCCCCUUGAUCUCUUAGCCACGGGCUUUGUUCUCUAUAGUCCUGCCUUCCUGGCCCCCACUUUUGGGGCAGCCCUAACUGUGGGUGGCUGCAUCCUGAGGAGAGAAGAAGCACUAGUCACCACGUAGGCUGCCCGGAGACCUUUUCUCUGAUUGGGUACAGAAGCACCUGCCAUUGUUUCCCUUUACAGCCCUUAUUGGCUCUGGCUGCCCCUUCUGUUGUUUGCAUCCUGCCCUGCACUCCACCCCCUAUCACAGGGGACCCUCAAUUGCCAUCCUCCCAGCUGUCCACAGGAUUUGAAGUGUCAGAGGAAGGGGCUGGGUAAAAUGGCUGUAUUGUGAUGACAAGGCUGGGGAGAGGAACCCAGGAAAAGCCAAGCCGAGUUUCUGUGUGCCCUCCUCCUCCCGGGGACCAGCCAUCUCAUCCAGCUUGCCCCCCCCCCCCCCCCCCCCCCCCCCGAGUACGCAUUCCUUUUCCCACCUCUGGCAAGGCCAAGGUGUCCUGCUGUGCUGGGUUGGACAGUUCAGGAAGCAGACAUCUUUAAGCACCUACCGCGGCCCAGGCAUUUUCCCUGAAGAGGGGAGCUUACGUCCCCUCCCCACCCUUCCAUUAUUCACUGUGCAAGGCGUCCUGCGCCCAUUGGCUGGGUGGUGGUGUCUGGGGCCCUUCAGCCCAGCGCCAGCACCCAGGUCCACGUGCGCCCGUGUGUGUGACACAGCCCUGACCUCAGUAGGGGCCAGUAACCAAUCAGGCGCCGGGACGAGAUCCCCAGCCAAUCGGGGGCGGGGCCUGCGGCUCAGCCGGCAGGAGGCCAAUGAGGGGCAGUGCCUGGCAUUAUGCAACCCGCCUCCUGGCCCCGCGAAGCUUCCACUCGGCUGAGGGCUGCAACGGCGGCGGGCAGGCGGCCGGAGGGCGCUCGCGCGGCCAGGUAGGCAUCUCCAGGGCCAUCCGGGGACCGGUCUCCCGCCCCAAGCCGGACCGCCGCCACUUCCAGCCUGAUGCGCCGCUUUCGGCCCGGGCGCUCGGACGGCUCACCCGCAGUCCGCCCUCCUUGCCGCUGUCCACCCCCUCUCUCUCUGCCUUCGGGUGUAACAUGGGUGUUCCUCGCAACCCUGUGCCGGCUCUCCGCACUCCUGAUCCUCUUACCCUACCUCCAGCCUUGACCUCUCCUUCCAGCUACCCUGGCCCCACGUCCGACCCUCGGCAGGCCUGCCGCCGCCGCCUCUCUUGUCACUCGGGGGUCUUCGGUUUUGCCCCGGCACCGGGACCCCUUCAGGCUUUCCGCGCUGCCCGCGCUCCCCCCUCCAGGCCCUGGCCCCGCGCCGGCCGUGAUGUAAGCCUGGUUCGGGCUGGAACAUCCCGUUCCCGGCGCUAGUUCCUGCUGUUGGCCACAGCCUUCCUUUUUCUCCUGGCGCUCAGAAAAUGCUCGGGGGUUGGGGGUGUGGUUGGACGAGGAGUAGGGGAAGAACUAUCCGCUGGCGUUUGUGCGUCCCUUGCUCAGGGCUGUGUCUGCUUCGGAUGGGGGCGGAGUGUGUGUGUGUGUGUGUGUGUGUGUUGGGGGGGGGUAAUCUAGAAAGUAGAGGACCGAAGAGAGAGGAUUCCUGAGUCCCUGACAAUGGCAGGUGCCGGCUUCAGUCCUGUGGGUCGGGAGAGGGUGCGGGGGCCGGAGGAGGACAGGCUGGGUCGUCUUGACCACAAUGACCGAGAUCCAGGCGAAGGCCAGGCUGGGGAGCUUUUGCGCGGAGGGCGGUGGCGGUUGUGUUUUGCCCUGGGGAGCAAGGCCAGCCUCUGGAAACCCCAUGGGCAGCCCUUCUUCUUACGGCCACCGAGCCCUGCAGGGCCUGGGGGUGUACUAGAGGUGGGCGACCCCGGGCCGCGCCCGCCAGCGUGGGAGUGGGUCGAUCCCUGGCUCCGCCGGGAAAUGGGGGAGGGGUCGCCCCUCCCGCCCUCCCGUGGUCCCUCCAGCAACCGCUGAGCUCAGCUGCUGACGUCGGUUUCCCUGGCGACCGCAGCGGCGGCCGGCGGAAUCGCGUGGUGGGUCCGCGCAUGUCUGUGCGCAUGUGCAGCGGGGGUGGCACCGCCCCCGGAUAAAAUUAGCCUGGAGGCCUAAAUAUAGGAGACGACAGGCAUACCCCCUGCUCUGAGGUCUUGGGAGUCCGGCGCGGAGUGGGGGCCUGAAGGGAAUUUGAGGAUGGGAAGUGUCCAGGCUUUGGUUCACGGUCAUAGUUCUCGUCGAAUACUCAGGCUCUUACUUUCCCAGGCCACGCUGGCGGGGGAAGUGGGGGAAGGCUGGAGAGAGGCCCCUUCUCAUCUGCAGACGCCUGUGGGAAUAGGAAACAGAACUUACCCGGGCUCCCAAGCCUGGGGCCUAGGGGCCUGGGGGCCGACCGAGCAGGGUCUGAAUGAAGCCGGCAGGAUUGUAAAGUUAACAGCUCGCCCUUCUUCUUGGUCUCCCUGUCCAGGUACUGCCUGGGAUCGAACUUCUCAGUUCUCAGAGGCUUGCGUCUCCCACCUCACUCCCCCAGCCAGGCCGCCCGGCCCCCUCGUGCGCUCUCGUGGUGGCCUCUCUGCCUGCUCUGUUUCCCCCUUGCCCUCCCCAUGGCGCAGACAUGAAUGGCCCCCUGGAAGGGGCUGAUGGGGGAGGGGACUCCGGACCGGGGGAGUCCUUUUGCCCUGGAGGGGCCCCAUCCCCUGGGCCGCCACAGCACCGGUCUUGCCCUGGCCCCAGCCUGGCUGAUGACACAGAUGCCAACAGCAAUGGCUCCAGCGGCAAUGAGUCCAACGGGCCCGAGUCCAGGGGCGCAUCCCAGCGGAGCUCACACAGCUCCUCCUCUGGCAACGGCAAGGACUCCGCCCUGCUGGAGACCACUGAGAGCAGCAAGAGGUGUGUGGGCAAGUGCCUCAGGGUGUGGGGGUGGUCCAGCCCGCAGGCUGAGCCAGGGCGGGGGAGCCCUGCUCCUGGGUGCCUUCUCAUUGUGGGCCUGCUGCUUCUCCCCAGCACAAACUCUCAGAGUCCCUCCCCGCCCAGCAGCUCCAUUGCCUACAGCCUCCUGAGCGCCAGCUCUGAGCAGGACAACCCGUCUACCAGUGGCUGCAGGUUCGUGGGGGUGAGGGCCAAAGAAGAAGGCUGGGGGCCUGGGCCACGAUCUGGGCCUAAGAGCUAUACCCCUUACCUCCCUGUGGGCCCUGCAGCAGUGAACAGUCCGCCCGGGCCAGGACCCAGAAGGAACUCAUGACGGCUCUGCGGGAGCUCAAGCUUCGGCUGCCGCCAGAGCGUCGGGGCAAGGGCCGCUCCGGGACCCUGGCCACGCUUCAGUAUGCUCUGGCCUGUGUCAAGCAGGUGCAGGGUGAGUGGUGCUUCCUGGGAGGGCCGUGGCUGGGCGCUGGGCCACCGGGGCCGGGUGGGGGGGGGGCGGGAAGGGGGGCGGCAGUCUCCUCAGUAGAUACCUCACAGAAGAUACCUUCGCCCUACAGCCAACCAAGAAUACUACCAGCAGUGGAGCCUGGAGGAGGGCGAACCUUGUGCCAUGGACAUGUCCACCUAUACCCUGGAGGAGCUGGAGCACAUCACGUCUGAGUAUACGCUCCGCAACCAGGUCAGGGGCGGCCCGGCCUCUCCAUCCCCCCGCGCCACCCGUCCUCCGUCGCGAGGCUCCUGAGUCUACUUUCGCCCUCUCUUUCCUGCCCAGGAUACCUUCUCCGUGGCGGUCUCCUUCCUGACGGGCCGCAUCGUCUACAUCUCAGAGCAGGCGGGUACCCUGCUGCGCUGCAAGCGGGACGUGUUCCGGGGCGCCCGCUUCUCUGAGCUCCUGGCCCCCCAGGAUGUGGGCGUCUUCUACGGUUCCACUGCCCCAUCUCGCCUGCCCACCUGGGGCGCCGGGGCCUCAGCAGGUGAGGUCCCCAAGUGCUCGGGGCCAGGGACCAGCAGUCCCAGGGAGUCCCUGUUCUGAGGGGCCAGGGAGGAAGUGGGGGGCUGUCCUUAGCACCCUCCUGGUCUGUUCCAGGUUCAGGCCUCAAGGACUUCACCCAGGAGAAGUCUGUCUUCUGCCGUAUCAGGUAGGUGGGGGAUGUGGGGGCAGACCCCCUCCCACCAUCCACACCCCCGCUGUUUUGCUGCAUGGUCUAUGACCUUGAGGUGAAGGGUGGGUGGUCCUCCACUAAGAGUCACUAGUGCCUCUCUGUCUCCUUUGCUAGAGGGGGUCCUGACCGGGAUUCAGGGCCUCGGUACCAGCCAUUCCGCCUAACGCCGUAUGUGACCAAGAUCCGGGUCUCGGAUGGGGCCCCCGCGCAGCCAUGCUGCCUGCUCAUUGCAGAGCGCAUCCACUCGGGUUACGAAGGUGUGUGGGCAAUGGGCCUGGCCUGGCGGGGCGUAGGAAGAAGGGUGACUUCCCUACAGUAGCGGCGAGGUAGGACGUGAGUCUGAGAGGCAGGUCCCAGCCCCUCAAAAUCUUGGGACAGAGAAGGAACCAUAAGGAUGAAGGUUUGAGUCCGUUUUUAGUGGGGGGAGAGUUGAAUAAGCAUCCUGAGCUAGGAGCAGGGAAGGUUGAAUGCUUUGGUUCUCCGUUUCACUCUUGGCGUGGGGUGAAAGAAUGGUCCAGACCGUCUGUGCAGGCUAGAGGGCUCCCACAGCUGUGCGGACGCCUGCCAGCCAGCUUGAGGCUUGGGGCUGAGAAGUUGGACCGUUCUGGAGAAAAACUCAGUGGCCUCACUCUCUGUGCCCCAGCUCCCCGGAUCCCUCCUGACAAGAGGAUCUUCACUACUCGGCACACGCCCAGCUGCCUCUUCCAGGAUGUGGACGAAAGGUUUGCUCAGGACCUGGAGGGAAGGGGGUGGGGAGGGCUGAGGCCAUGGCUACUCUCUGAUGCCUCCUCCCCUCGCAGGGCCGCCCCCCUGCUGGGCUACCUUCCCCAGGACCUCCUGGGGGCCCCAGUCCUCCUGUUCCUGCACCCUGAGGACCGGCCCCUCAUGUUGGCCAUCCACAAGAAGAGUGAGUUAGUUCUCUAUGCUGCUCUCCUUCCUCCGCUGUCUGCGGGGGCCUCUCAGUGGCUGUGCUUGUGGUUGUCCCUUGGGGCCUCGGUGUCCUGGAUCUCCAGUGGGCGGCCCUCUGCUUUGCCCGGCUCUGCCUCCUGCCCACCCUCCCCUCCCCUCACUUCUCACUCCUUCAGUCCUGCAGUUGGCUGGCCAGCCCUUCGAUCACUCCCCCAUCCGCUUCUGCGCCAGGAAUGGGGAGUACGUCACCAUGGACACCAGCUGGGCUGGCUUCGUGCACCCCUGGAGCCGCAAGGUGGCCUUUGUGUUGGGACGCCACAAAGUGCGCACGUAAGUGGGCCCCAGAGCUGGCCCUGUGGGCUGGGACCACGAGGGAGGGGGCAGGGCCCGACUUAGCCUUCUCCACCCUGCAGGGCACCCCUGAACGAGGACGUGUUCACUCCUCCGGCCCCUAGCCCGGCUUUGUCUCUGGACUCUGAUAUCCAGGAGCUGUCCGAACAGAUCCACAGGCUGCUGUUACAGGUGACUGUCAAGGGGCGGGGCUCGGAGAUGAGGCAGGGGUAGGGGCGCGGGGAGGAGGGCUGAGACAUCUAACCAGGUUCUCUCUCUGCCUCAGCCGGUACACAGCCCCAGUCCCACCGGGCUCUGUGGGGUCGGCCCCGCCGCUUCCCCGGGCCCUCUCCUCAGCCCUGGCUCCUCCAGUGAUAGCAACGGGGGUGACGCUGAGGGGCCCGGGCCUCCCGCCCCGGUGAGUGUCCCUCCCCUGCUUCGCCCUCUAGUGUCACGUUCCCCUGUCCAGGCCCGGUUCCUGUGCCUUUCCUUACUGUCCUGCGUUCACCGUGGUCCCUGUGCCUCCCCUCUAGUACCCCUCGUUGCGUUGUGCCCUGGACCAGUGACAGUGCCCUGCCCUGUCCUGCAGGUGACCUUCCAGCAGAUCUGUAAGGACGUGCACCUGGUGAAACAUCAGGGACAGCAGCUUUUCAUCGAGUCCCGCGCUUGGCCUCCGCCCCGGCCCCGCCUCCCUGGUGAGUUGGUGAGGGUGUGGCUGAGCAGUGAGACCCCGGGGGCCCCCUGACCUUCACCCCAACCCAGAGGAGCUUGUCUCUCCUUUUUUCUCUCCUUGGCGCAGCCACAGGCACCUUCAAGGCCAAGACCCUUUCCUGCCAGUCCCCAGACCCGGAGCUGGAGAUGGUCCCUGCUCCAGUCCAGGCUCCACUCACCUUGACCCCUGAGGAGGUGGAGAGAAAAGAAGCCAAUGGUUGUUCCUACCAGCAGAUCAACUGCUUGGACAGCAUCCUCAGGUCAGGCUACCCCGGAACCUUCUCCCACCUGGGCCCUGGCCUCGGCCCACCUCAAGCCCUGCCUUCAUGCCCUCUGGCGCCCCUGCCCCGCAGGUACCUGGAAAGCUGUAACAUUCCCAGCACCACCAAGCGUAAAUGUGCCUCCUCCUCCUGCACCACCUCGUCAGCCUCCGACGAUGACAAGCAGAGGACAGGUCCGCUCCCUCUGGGGGCCAGGAAAGGUAAGGACCCCGUGCACGCCCUGUCCCCGCUGCCCCGUCCUGGCCCCCUGGCCCAGCGUCUCUGCAUUUCUGCCUUUGGGGCCCCCACCUUGCUCCACCCCGUCCCCCUCCCCGCCUUCAGAUUUGCGGAGUUCUCUGUCCCGUCUGUCCUUCCACGUCUUCUCUGGGAUUUCCCCUCUGAUCUCCCGGGGGUGACGUGCCAUCUCUCCGCACAGAUGCAUCGGCAGUGCUGUCCGGGGAGGGGGCCGUCCCACAGAAGGAGCCGGUGGUGGGAGGCGCCCUGAGCCCGCUCGCGCUGGCCAAUAAGGCAGAGAGCGUGGUGUCCGUCACCAGUCAGUGUAGCUUCAGCUCCACCAUCGUCCACGUGGGAGACAAGAAGCCCCCGGAGUCGGGUAUGGGCGCGGAGUGAGGGGGUUGCACUCGGCCCCCUGGCCAGAUCUCCCUCCUGCCCACCUUUCCCUUCCCUGUCUGGCCCCUAACGGAGAGGAGGAGGUCUCCGUCUUGGCUUGGGGCCGCUGCCCGCUGUUCACCCCCGCCGGCCUUCACUGCUUUGUUUUUCCGUGUUCUCGCUGUCGGUUCGCACACAAGGUCUAGGGUGGGGGCCCGACCCCGUGGUGCUGUCCACAGAGGGUCCGAGGAUAGGGACUGUUGGGAACCCCUAAAGGGUCGCCGGGUGCUGUCCUGGAGGACGUGUGAGGGGAGGGCAAGGAGCGAGCUUCCCUUCCAAGGAGAGUCUUGGAGGUGUUUCUUAUCCUAGGGGACUGUCACCGGAGGGGACUAAGUGUUCUCUCUCACCCUGGGACCGCUUUGCAUGGAGAAGAGGGCCCAGAACCAGUCCUCAGCAGGGAGGAGGCCAAGGGGUGCACGUGGGGCACAGGCUUGGCUGUGGGGCAGAGGCCAGGGGUUGGCUGGGUUGUUGGAUGGGGAGGGUGUGGUAUGGAUGUGCUAACCCCUGAGGUGACUCCAGUGACCUUUCCUCCGUCUCGCCUUCCUCAGACAUCAUCAUGAUGGAGGACCUGCCUGGCCUGGCUCCAGGCCCAGCCCCCAGCCCAGCCCCCAGCCCCACAGUAGCCCCUGACCCAGCCCCAGAUGCCUACCGCCCGGUGGGCCUGACCAAGGCCGUGCUGUCCCUGCACACACAGAAGGAGGAGCAGGCCUUCCUCAGCCGCUUCCGAGAUCUCGGCCGACUGCGUGGACUUGACGGCUCCUCCCC
rnacentral:lncRNA from 1 species